rnacentral:miRNA from 1 species
UUUGGGAGGCCAAGGCAGGCGGAUCACUUGAGCCCAGGUGUUUGAGACCAGUCUGGGCAACAUAGUGAGAUCUCCUCUCUACAAAAA